AGGGGAAUAUUGCACAAUGGGCGGAAGCCUGAUGCAGCGACGCCGUGUGGGGGAUGAAGGCCUUCGGGUUGUAAACUCCUUUCGACAGGGACGCAGCUUUUGUGACGGUUCCUGUAUAAGAAGCACCGGCUAACUACGUGCCAGCAGCCGCGGUAAUACGUAGGGUGCGAGCGUUGUCCGGAAUUACUGGGCGUAAAGAGCUCGUAGGUGGUUUGUCGCGUCGUCUGUGAAAUUCCGGGGCUUAACUCCGGGCGUGCAGGCGAUACGGGCUGACUUGAGUGCUGUAGUGGAGACUAGAAUUCCUGGUAUAGCGGUGAAAUGCGCAGAUAUCAGGAGGAACACCGAUGGCGAAGGCAGGUCUCUGGGCAGUAACUAACGCUGAGGAGCGAAAGCAUGGGUAGCGAACAGG
rnacentral:rRNA from 1 species